AGUGUAGGCGGCUACUUAAGUCGGAUGUGAAAUCCCCGGGCUCAACCUGGGAAUUGCAUUCGAUACUGGGUAGCUAGAGUUUGGUAGAGGUAAGUGGAAUUCCGGGUGUAGCGGUGAAAUGCGUAGAUAUCCGGAGGAACAUCAGUGGCGAAGGCGGCUUACUGGACCAAAACUGACGCUGAGGCUCGAAAGCGUGGGGAGCAAACAGGAUUAGAUACCCUGGUAGUCC
rnacentral:rRNA from 1 species